CCUACGGGAGGCAGCAGUGAGGAAUAUUGGUCAAUGGGCGAGAGCCUGAACCAGCCAAGUCGCGUGAGGGAGUACUGCCCUAUGGGUUGUAAACCUCUUUUGUCGGGGAGCAAAAGCCGGACGUGUCCGGCUGUGAGAGUACCCGAAGAAAAAGCAUCGGCUAACUCCGUGCCAGCAGCCGCGGUAAUACGGGGGAUGCGAGCGUUAUCCGGAUUUAUUGGGUUUAAGGGGUGCGCAGGCGGAUUUUUAAGUCAGCGGUAAAAUCGUGGGGCUCAACCCCAUCCAGCCGUUGAAACUGGGGAUCUAGAGUGUGCGAGAGGUAUGCGGAAUGCGUGGUGUAGCGGUGAAAUGCAUAGAUAUCACGCAGAACCCCGAUUGCGAAGGCAGCAUACCGGUGCACAACUGACGCUCAGGCACGAAAGCGUGGGUAUCGAACAGGAUUAGAUACCCUGGUAGUC
rnacentral:rRNA from 1 species